rnacentral:lncRNA from 1 species
CCCAGGGUACAGCAAGGGGAAAGGAGGUAGGGGAAGCUGACAUGUUGUAACACUCCAAGGUUCCACAAACAACCCGGAAUGCUACUGUACUACACUUCCGACGUCCAUAUAUAAAAUUUCGGCAGCAUCCCCUUUGCAAGAUUGCAUAAAAGAGGGAGCAACAGAGUAUAAACAUAUAUCAUGACUAAAACAUACUAAGUAUUAUUACUCGGCAAGCAAGGAAAGAUAAACAUACGACCUGAACUGAAUUAACCAGUGCGCACGACCAUAUAAAAAAAUAAACAAACUUCCUUUGACAAUAAGUUUCUAAUUAAAUCAUGGCUGCGCCUGGGCAGCGUUAUUGUGAGAGUGAAAGUGGACGUGCUGCUACUCCUCUCAUUCCCAACAUGUAUCAAGUACCUGCAUUGAGUAAUGCAAGAGUGAGAUGACACAUCUCAGCAAGUAAAAUAAUAUCAAACAGUUUAACCACAUAAGAACAUUGUUUUACCACCACUUGAUUCCACAACCUUCUUAUUACGAAGGUGCAGCACGUAUACAACGUACAACGCACCUAGUUACCACACCUCGCAGGUAGAAACCACAAUAGUAACAUAGUAAUGUCACACUUCAUAUAUUUCCUCAUGAGUGCAAAUGUCUGCAAAUGCAAGGAUGACUUCUGCCUUCAUACCUCUAAGGAUAUGAAGCCGCAUCGUACCCCUCCUCGGGCAACGUACGAUGCUAAAAAUGUACCGGUACGGUCGGACCAUAAGAUCACGACAUAACUUCAAAAUGCAAGAUGGAUGAUGCGAUGUGCAUGUCAUGCCUACAACACUUCAUAUAACAUGAUUCAAAAAGACACUUCAACUUCAUCCAGAUGGGAAUCAACCACAUAUAUCAUUACCAAAUUAUGAUCAUCCACAAUAUUAGACAAUUGAGAAUUUUUCUCGAAAGCGCAGGGGAACUGCGCCUUUAAUUAUAUUAAGAAGAGGAGAAAUAGUACAUAGUACAAUAGCUCUCCUUACGGAGGCCAGAAACAAACAUAAAGGAACGAAUCCGUUAGGAAUUCAGACUACCGACAAAGGGGCAGCCAAAAAGGAGAGACCCUUGGCCCCUGCUAGCACCCAAAGGUUUCUCUCCUCAUCAGCCUGCUGCAGGAUUCGAGAGAGGCUGGGGGUCUCUCCAUCAAACACACAUCUAUUGCGGAGGUUCCAUAUCUUCCAGGCACCCAACAUGAUAAGAGAAUUCAGCCCUUUCUUGACCAUUCCCUGCGCUGCCUCAGCAGCCCCUUUCCACCACUCUAAGAAGGAUGUAAGGCCAGGCUGUGGGGCCAGGGCAUGUAACCCAAAUUUCCUUAGGAGCAUAUACCAGAAAAUUCUUGUGAAGACGCAGGAGAUAAGAAGGUGGUUCAUGGUUUCAUCUUCCUGAUCACAAAGAAGACACCUUUGCGGGUGAUUCAGGCCCUUUUUGGCCAAACGAUCAGCAGUCCAGCAUCUGUUGUGUGCCACCAACCACAUGAAAAAACGGCACUUUGAGGGGGCCCAAGAUCUCCAGAUUCUUUUGUAGUGAUCAAAGGAGGCAGAUCCUAAAAACAGACCAUUAUAAGUUGCUUUCGUUGUGUAUUUACCAUCUGUAGCAAGGCUGAAAACAUGCUUAUCCCUUAUGUUUGGCUGUAACUCAAUCCCUGAAAGGGAUUCCCAAAGGUUUAGAUAAUCAACCAAGACUCUUACUGUAAGAGCCCCCUUAAUAUCUGAAAUCCAUUUCCUGUUUACAAGUGCUUCUUUCACCGUCCUUUUGUUAGCAAUUCUUCUUGGAAUUGACUUGUGCAGGCUAGGGGCAAUAUCAGCAAUUCGAGUGCCAUGCAGCCAUCUAUCAUUCCAGAACAAGGUGUUUGAACCAUCCCCAACCAUAGAAACAAGAGCCAUAGAGAAAAAAGCCCUAGCUUUGUUUGGGACCUGUAUUGGAAGACUUGCCCAAGGCCGCCCCAUAUCUGUUUUCUGCAACCACAGCCAUCUCAUGCGGAGAGCCCAACAAAGCUCAGGGAGACUAGAGAUUCCCAAGCCUCCCAGUUGAAGGGGACGACACACCUUUCCCCAGGCAACCAAACAGUGUCCUCCCUUUGCUUCCUUUGUGCCUCUCCAAAGAAUAGACAAUUGAGAAUUAAUACUCCCAAACAAAUAAACUUCAUCAUAGAAUUCAAUGAUUAACAUAAUUAAAACUUAUGCAUACUCAAUGACAGGGAAUAGGAUGCAAACCAAACGGUAGCAACCACCACUGUAUUUACUUGCCUUUACCGGAAGUUCGGGCAAAUCCCUAAGUACGAUCCGGAAGUCCACCACCUGUUUUUGACACCCAACUUAGUACAUCAAUUUCACAUAAUCAGGCCCAUAAGCGACGCCGCACCUACGCACAACUCAAACCCCGCCGCGGGUUACAUCUCUCCCUACACCCACCAAACUGCAGCGGCGCUGCUUAAUAAUUUCAUAACUUUAAAAUUAUGACAGCAGUGGUAACAAACAAAAACUCCAGAGGCAUCUACAUAAAAUUCCCCACAAGUUUUGUAUACAAUUUAUAAUUAAAUUCCAAUAUCUAAUUAGCCCAAAACAGUCCACAAGAUGAACCCUGUAAUCUGUUUUUCUUUGUCUUUUGGACAGCGACAUACCCAGAUUCAAACAGCGAUAUCUUUUAAAAUAUAAUUCCAAAUCAAGCGCAUAAGUACUCAUUGGAAAGAUAAGACAAAUCCCUACAUGAUUACCAUACUGGUUAACACUAAUUACCCACGAAAAAUUCCCAGAAACUGCUAAUACCACUGCUGUUCACCCACCUGAAAAAUCUGUUUUUUUUGGACAGCAACAUAACCGGAUUCAAACAACGAUAUCUCCUGAAUUAUAACUCCGAAUCGAGCGCAUAAGUACUUGUUGGAAAGAUAACAUAAAGCCCUACAUGAUUCUCAUACUGAUUAACACUAAUUACUUCCGAAAUAUCCCCAGAAACUGCUAAUACUGCUGCUGUUCAUCCCCCAGAAAAUCUGUUUUUUUGGACAGCCACAUACCCGGAUUCAAACGGUGAUAACAUUCAAUUUAUAACUCCAAAUUGAGCGCAUAAAUACUCGUUGGAAAGGUAAGGUAAAGUUCUACAUGAUCCCCAAACUGAUUUCCCUUAAUUCCUCACGAAAAAAACACAGAAACUGCUAGACUACUGCUGUUCACCCACCACCUAAAAUUCUGGACAGCCCCCUCUACCCAAUCGCAAACGCAACCUCUAAUCAAUUAAAUUGCAGCGCAAAUGAACAAGGGAUGAACACAAAAAUCACCUUGGAUUCUCCCCCUUUCCUUCCUCCCUUCUUCCCUCCACCAAAACGAUUGAAGACUCGCACCACGACGACGAUGAUCCGAGCGGCAAGGAUUGGCACCUUGGGAGGAGGGGAUUGAGGGGGGGGGGGCUAGGGUUUGGUGGCUGCAAGAAUGGAGAGAGGAGGAGAUGGGCAGGGGGCGGCGGCCAAGGGGGAGAGAAGUGGGGGGGGGGCGGCUGCACAUGGGGGGAGGGGGUUAGGAGGGAGGCGACUAGGGUUUGGGAGGGUUAAUGGGCCGAAACUCCAAUUGCGGCCCAACUAACCCACGCGACAGCUCCCGACCGCAACGUAAGCGUCAAAUCAAAUAAAUUCUACUGCCCUAGUUGUGAAUGUUUUCCACAAAAUCCCAAAUCCCCAAAACAACAACCGGAUGAGGAAAAAAACAAAAAGAACAACCCCCAACUUCUCUUCUUUGCAAACCGGGUAUCACACUCUACCCCUCUUAAAAAGAAUUCGACCUCGAAUUCUGACGCUUCUAUCAGAACAACAAAAGAAAUGUUAAUGAAUCAACAAAACUCACACAUAAAGAAAAGUUCGAGUACUUCUGCCGCAUCAGCUCCUCAAGCUCCUAGGAUUCUAAGAUACGCAGCAGACGACACUCUAGAGUCUGCUCUUGCUACACAGGAAUCGGCUCUAGCUCGAUUUGAUGGUCUGGAUCCCGAAAAUACUUCCUCAACAAAAAGACAUGGAAUACUUGGUGUACAUUGAUCACAGAUUCCGACAAUUACAUGUGCUAAGCCCAGCUGCCAACUCGGCCAAGAUAGCAGACGGUCCUAUAUACCUCGGACCAAGCUUUCCUGACACCAAAUCAAUCAUUGACAUAUGCAAGUACUUCAAGGAAUGUAUAUAUGAAUGCAAGGCAUAUAAUGUUCCUAUAGGCUAAACCAAACUUAGCCACACAAGAGCAACUUCAAGAGAGCAACUUAAUGCUUGCAUAUUUCUAGAUAGCAGCACAACGGUUAAUUGUUUUGCUCCUAACUCACAAAAAUAUGCAUCGAAAAUUAGUAAACUAGGACUUUAUGGAAAACUUAUAAAGUCCACUAUACCCUUGGUAUUAUCAUCACAACAAGAUUUGACACUUAGAAAGGUCAAACAGUGCUAAAUGUAAAUUCUGUCCAGACUUGGACAUAAUUCAACUACUCAAUUCAAAAAUCCAUAAUUGGAGUCUCAAUCAUCCAAUUCAGGUGCUCCCAGACUUUUUAGAAAGCUAGUAGAAUUGUCUAUAAUUCAUUUAUAAACAUAUCAAGUUAAUUCAAUGCAUAUUAAGGUCAAAAGACACGAGAAAGGCUCUGCUGUCCAAAUUUGGACAGAUUCAGAGAUCACACUUAAAACAGCUGUAACUUAACUUAUAGAUCUCCAAAAAAAAAAUUUAUCCAAAAUUUGUUGUAACAAUUAAGAAAAGUAAUACAACUUAUUUAUAAUUUAUAAAUAGUUAUUCGAAGUUUAAAUUGGGCAAACAAGGUCAGCUUCGAAAUCUGUAUAGAAUCUGCACAGAUUUCAAGACUGGACUUGAGAAAAUCAUAACUCCCAAACUACUAGACCUAUGGUCAUGAAAUUUUUACACAAGUAAGAUAAAAAAGUUGGCUACAACUUUUAUAUAUAACAUCUCUACAGAAAAGAUGGUUUACUUCACUGAACUAGCUGCAUAACUAAAAUUGGUCAUGCAGUCCCAAUAACAAGCAAUAGAUUUUAUCAGGUUCAUUACUCUUCUAAGAUUAAGCGUUCAUUGAAAGACUAAUAACUUUAGGUUCUUUAUUACGAGACACCUAGAACAAAUAUAAGUAUAGAAGCAAUAUGAUAACCUUUUAAAUCAUUUAAGCCUAAUCUCACAUCAUGCAAACAAGAAUCAAUUUAAGCAUGUUAUGUCUGCCCACAUAUUCAUCCAAGCACAUUCUAUACAUGAUAUCAUAACUCCCUGCAGCUAACAAAAUUUUGCAAAUAUAAACUCACUGAAAAGAUUAUAACAUUCCCUAGAACUUUUAUUAUAGCGAGUGUCUCGGAAUUGGUUUCCAAACCGAUAAAACAAUGCAACUCUUUUGUUUCAAAACUGAUAAGAUUGAAACAAUGGACAACUAAAAUUCAAAAACCUAUAACUCCUGCUAUACUCAACUUAAACUACAACGAACACGCGUUGGAAAAGUUUUGAAAAUUGUCCACGACUUUUGCAAUAAAGUUGCGCCCAAAUUUAUCCUUAUAGCCCACAACUCUGCAUGACCUACAGCUAAACUCAGCCUGAGAUACUGCACAUUAGAGAUUCGACUUAUAUCCAGGCAACCACCUCUCCAAAUCUAUUUAACAGACAGUUACAAGUAAAUACCCAUUAAAAAGGUACUGAAAAUACCUACAAGUUUUGCUUAAAGAGAAUUCGCAAAUUUGUGCUCUGCAACUAUCAAAACGCGGUCGAUUUAUUGGUGAUUAUAACGACGCCUAAAGUUCAGACACAACAGUGCAACAACUUCAGAGCAACCUAACUCCAAUUAUAUGCAAUGAGAAUUAGAAACCCAUACUCUUUGAAAAGAUCAUGAAAUUACUAAAACUUUCAUAAUCCACAAAGACCAAAUUAUACCGUCUUCAAUGUCUACUCUUCCGUGCAAAAUUAAAGACUCACUCUUCUAGAGACACCAACAAAGAUGUUUUAAGAAACCCAUAUCUCUCAAAUGUUUAGACCAAACAUGGUGAUUAAGCAUCCUAUGGAAAGAUGCAGAAACAUACUACAAAACAUUCUAGAUAAGUGAAGCCUGAUUCAGCCUCCAACUAAUUUAAAAUGCCUCCCGAAACCAAACAACAUAUUAUCAACAAUAAUAAAAAAACAAUAUAAAAUGAAACCCAAGUCAUUGGCAGGUGCCAUCAACACUAGGAUUUUCCACUACCAAACUGGGAUGCAACUCCACAAAGUCUUUAAAUAACACUCUACCAAAUAGGUUAGAACACUAAGCACAACAAUCAAUGAAUUCAACAACCUCGUUUGUUAAUGCCACUAAGGUCAAACAUCCAUGUACCGACAAUGUAUGAAACACCUGACAUACCCGUCUCUAGCUCUAUAAAACAUGGUUGUUAUUACACUAGAAUCCAACUACUAGAAAUCUCCAAAACUAUUCUGUUGACGUGAAGCAAAUGGUGCUCAUGUCAUAUAACAUCUUUUCCCCCUCUCAAAAGAGAUAAAAUUUGCAAUACUCAUAAAGCAAUGGAGGGAUAACAACAAGAAAAAACUAAUGUACUUCUUGACACAGACUCAUGCAAAAGCUUCAUAAAUAUUACUUUCAACACUAAAAUAAUAACACGAUAAUAUGCUCAACAGGAGUAAUUGGACUUCAAUAAGAUAAUCCACCUAACCCAACUACUUUGAUUAACCUCACAUACAACAAUUUGUACCUAGUGAUGUCAUAGGAUGAAUUCAAAGUAGUAGACAUACAUGAUCUAUCAAACCAUCAUUCAUAUAAUAAAAAUCUCCAUCUAAUGCAACAACCACAUCAUUAUAGAGAUAGAUGACUAACAAACAUAAGCAACUUCCAGUUAAACAUUGACUUUGUUUAAGAUAAAGCGGUCCAAAUAAUAAUUCCACAAGCAUGCAUAGAGAACUGAUCAUAUAAAAAAAACUACCAUGUAUCAUCAGCGAUUAAAAACAAUAUAAAACGGGUUGUCCAUAUCGUCCACAUGACUAGCCUCCAACAAAUAAAAAUUAUGCAUAACCUUUUUGGCUAUAGAAACAAACCAUAAAAGGAAAAUAUGCAUGCCUCUUCAACUAUAAUAUAGACAUAAAAUCCACUUGAAAUCACCCUAUUUAUUAUUAAAGAUAAGGUUGCACACAAUAAGAAAACCUAUCAUGUAAACAUGGUUGGACUUAUCUACCCACGUCAUCUUGCAAAUUCACUUGAGUUCUUCUAGUCUCAAGAUUUCAUAGACAGUACAACAUUGCCUUUGCUCUAUGGAGACAAACCUAUUGUACUCUAAGAUCAAGUUGGCAAGUAGCCACACUAGCCAAAAAAAAGGUGAGGUGUAAAGCACUGCACCCAUGGAAAUAUUACAUUGAUAAGUUGGGUUGUAACCCAACAGUCAAUCAAACUCAACAACACCAUAAAACUUCAUUGUAUAGUGUUUUCACGCUACACCAAGUCGGAUUAGAUCCUCUAUACACAAGCUCAAUAAACAAUCGGUCCUGCAAGUACUAGAACCCAAGAAUCCUUUUGGGAAAAAACAUCCACAGUCAAGCAUAUAGAAAUAUAUGAUGGUAAUAGCUCAGAGAUUAGUAAACAUUGCAUCCCAAAAAACAUCAUGACGAUAUGUAUAUAAAACAAGUACAUUAGUAGCUUCACUCGCAUAAUAAUUUCAAUAACAACCACAUCAAGAAACCAAUAUUAAAUAGAAGUAACAUUUCAUAUCAAGCAUUACGUCGUUAACGACAUACCUCAUCAAACCAUAAAGGGGUUUGGAGUAAGGAAAUUCUAGUCAUCUAUACAAUAAAAUACUAAUAUGAAAGAUAUAUGAACCCAUACCCUUCCUAUAUGUGCAAGUGUGUCAAAUUUAUCUUCAAAUUGCGUAGAAUCUAAAGCCUAUCCUCUGAUACCAACUGUAACACUCCAAGGUUCCACAAACAACCCGGAAUGCUACUGUACUACACUUCCGACGUCCAUAUAUAAAAUUUCGGCAGCAUCCCCUUUGCAAGAUUGCAUAAAAGAGGGAGCAACAGAGUAUAAACAUAUAUCAUGACUAAAACAUACUAAGUAUUAUUACUCGGCCAGCAAGGAAAGAUAAACAUACGACCUGAACUGAAUUAACCAGUGCGCACGACCAUAUAAAAAAAUAAACAAACUUCCUUUGACAAUAAGUUUCUAAUUAAAUCAUGGCUGCGCCUGGGCAGCGUUAUUGUGAGAGUGAAAGUGGACGUGCUGCUACUCCCCUCAUUCCCAACAUGUAUCAAGUACCUGCAUUGAGUAAUGCAAGAGUGAGAUGACACAUCUCAGCAAGUAAAAUAAUAUCAAACAGUUUAACCACAUAAGAACAUUGUUUUACCACCACUUGAUUCCACAUCCUUCUUAUUACGAAGGUGCAGCACGUAUACAACGUACAACACACCUAGUUACCACACCUCGCAGGUAGAAACCACAAUAGUAACAUAGUAAUGUCACACUUCAUAUAUUUCCUCAUGAGUGCAAAUGUCUGCAAAUGCAAGGAUGACUUCUGUCUUCAUACCUCUAAGGAUAUGAAGCCGCAUCGUACCCCUCCUCGGGCAACGUACGAUGCUAAAAAUGUACCGGUACGGUCGGACCAUAAGAUCACGACAUAACUUCAAAAUGCAAGAUGGAUGAUGCGAUGUGCAUGUCAUGCCUACAACACUUCAUAUAACAUGAUUCAAAAAGACACUUCAACUUCAUCCAGAUGGGAAUCAACCACAUAUAUCAUUACCAAAUUAUGAUCAUCCACAAUAUUAGACAAUUGAGAAUUAAUACUCCCAAACAAAUAAACUUCAUCAUAGAAUUCAAUGAUUAACAUAAUUAAAACUUAUGCAUACUCAAUGACAGGGAAUAGGAUGCAAACCAAACGGUAGCAACCACCACUGUAUUUACUUGCCUUUACCGGAAGUUCGGGCAAAUCCCUAAGUACGAUCCGGAAGUCCACCACCUGUUUUUGACACCCAACUUAGUACACCAAUUUCACAUAAUCAGGCCCAUAAGCGACGCCGCACCUACGCACAACUCAAACCCCGCCGCGGGUUACAUCUCUCCCUACACCCACCAAACUGCAGCGGCGCUGCUUAAUAAUUUCAUAACUUUAAAAUUAUGACAGCAGUGGUAACAAACAAAAACUCCAGAGGCAUCUACAUAAAAUUCCCCACAAGUUUUGUAUACAAUUUAUAAUUAAAUUCCAAUAUAUAAUUAGCCCAAAACAGUCCACAAGAUGAACCCUGUAAUCUGUUUUUCUUUGUCUUUUGGACAGCGACAUACCCAGAUUCAAACAGCGAUAUCUUUUAAAAUAUAAUUCCAAAUCAAGUGCAUAAGUACUAAUUGGAAAGAUAAGACAAAUCCCUACAUGAUUACCAUACUGGUUAACACUAAUUACUCACGAAAAAUUCCCAGAAACUGCUAAUACCACUGCUGUUCACCCACCUGAAAAAUCUGUUUUUUUGGACAGCAACAUAACCGGAUUCAAACGAUGAUAACUUUCAAUUUAUAACUCCAAAUUGAGCGAAUAAAUACUCGUUGGAAAGGUAAGGUAAAGUUCUACAUGAUCCCCAAACUUAUUUCCCUUAAUUCCUCACGAAAAAACACAGAAACUGCUAGACUACUGCUGUUCACCCACCAUCUAAAAUUCUGGACAGCCCCCUCUACCCAAUCGCAAACGCAACCUCUAAUCAAUUAAAUUGCAGCGCAAAUGAACAAGGGAUGAACACAAAAAUCACCUUAGAUUCUCCCCCUUUCCUUCCUCCCUUCUUCCCUCCACCAAAACGAUUGAAGACUCGCACCACGACGACGAUGAUCCGAGCGGCAAGGAUUGGCACCUUGGGAGGAGGGGAUUGAGGGGGGGGGGCGGCUAGGGUUUGGUGGCUGCAAGAAUGGAGAGAGGAGGAGAUGGGCAGGGGGGCGGCAGCCAAGGGGG